CUCCGCCGCCAGAUCUGGCCGUCGGGAGGCCAGAUCUGGCGGUCCGGUGGCCAGAUCUGGCCGUCGGGAGGCCAGAUCUGGCGGUCCGU
rnacentral:pre_miRNA from 1 species